rnacentral:rRNA from 1 species
AUGGCCAACAGAGUAAAUUACACGGCGCUGGCGCCCAGAGAGUCGCCGGCCAGGCCGACGACGCUGCACGACAUCCCCGACAAGCUCCUCAAGAUCAUCCUCUUGUACCUCACCUCACCCCAAUGGCUCGUCCGAGCUGCGGCCACCUGCAAGCAAUGGCGCCGCAUCAUCGUUGACGCAAACUUCCUCUCCUACAUUGAUUCCAGCCCCCAUCCCUCAUCUCUUGUUGCAGGCCAUUAUCAUAACCACACAUCCCCUGUUGACGGUCGCCGCCUCAGCUUUGUUCCUUCCUCGCCAGCGCCGGCUGUCAGGAGCCGCCACUUCUCCCUGGACUUCCUCCCUGCAGGCGGCAGAAGGUCAUGGGAGAUUGUUGAUAGCCGCCACACCCUCCUCCUCCUUGCCAAGAAGAAGAUUGGGUGGAGACGUCAUACCUUGCCUGACCUCGUAGUCUGCGAGCCCCUCACACGACGUUACCAACUAAUCCCACGCAUGGAGGAAAAGAAAUACCACCGAUGCAUUGGUGUAUUCCUCCAUGGUUUCAAUGACAGAGGAGAUACCUCACGGUGGGGCCGUGCCAUCGAUGAAAUGUCGAGUUUCAGAGUGAUUUGCCUGCUCUUCAAUGAUCACAUCGGGGUAUGUGAUAACAUUGGCACGGCGAAUGCCUACGCGUUCGAAGAGGGGUGGAGGGGGAAGCGUGCCAGCUGGUUCAUCGUCAAGUACCCAGAGAGGGCCAGUCCUGAAUUCCACUUCCAUGCCACGGAAUCCCUGCAUUUCCUUGGUCGUGCCCAAAUUUCUAUCUUCUGGGCCAUGCAAGAUGACCCUUCCUCUUUGCUAACUUAUAAUUUCCAGUGGAAAGACGAGUUUGAGAUCCUCGCAUUGCCGGACCACACCCGAGGAUCGGUUUUGUGGGUUCUCAAUAUCAACGAUGACGACGACGACAAGGUGCAUCUUGUUUGCUUGCAGGGCGACAACCUUCGCAUCUUUGCGGCAAGGCGGUAUGAUAGUCCCGACUGGGAGCUUCAGAAGAGCAUCCAAUUAAUGGAGGCUACCCGUGGACUAGAAGGGCACAAGGAUGAGUACUUUCGUCAGUCUACGAAGAUUGUCUCAACCAGCACGAGCUCUAUCGUGUUUUCUAUGGCAGAGGGGAAAUGGCUGUUUUCCAUCGACUUUGAGAGCAUGGAGGUGGCGAAAUACAAAUACAAGCCGCAUUCUUUUGAAACCGUAGCUUAUCCGUGUGAGCUUCCAUGGCUACCUGCCAUUCGUGCUUGUAUUGUGCCUUGUACUACUACCAGAUGGGGCAAUCGCAGAUGUUCUGGUAUUUGUAUAUGUCGAAGUCUCUAA